AUGUGUCUAGUGGUCAGGAAUCCUGGCUUUUACCCAGGUGACCUGGGUUCGAUUCCUGGCAU
rnacentral:tRNA from 1 species